GAUGAAGAACGCAGCGAAAUGCGAUAAGUAAUGUGAAUUGCAGAAUUCAGUGAAUCAUCGAAUCUUUGAACGCACAUUGCGCCCGCCAGUAUUCUGGCGGGCAUGCCUGUUCGAGCGUCAUUUCAACCAUCAAGCCCCCGGCUUGUGUUGGGGACCCGCGGCUGCCGCAGGCCCUGAAAACCAGUGGCGGGCUCGCUAGUCACUCCGAGCGUAGUAAUACAUCUCGCUCAGGGCGUGCUGCGGGUUCCGGCCGUUAAAAAGCCUUAUUUACCCAAGGUUGACCUCGGAUCAGGUAGGAAGACCCGCUGAACUUAAGCAUAUCAAUAAGCGGAGGA
rnacentral:misc_RNA from 1 species